GGGGAAUUGUUCGCAAUGGGCGCAAGCCUGACGACGCAACGCCGCGUGGAGGAUGAAGAUCUUCGGGUCGUAAACUCCUGUCGAGCGGGACGAACACUUACCGGGCUAACAUCCGGGUAGGCUGACGGUACCGCUAAAGGAAGCCCCGGCUAACUCCGUGCCAGCAGCCGCGGUAAUACGGGGGGGGCGAGCGUUGUCCGAAGUUACUGGGCGUAAAGCGCGCGUAGGCGGGUUGGCAAGUCUGCUGUGAAAGCCCGGGGCUUAACUCCGGAGGGUCGGUGGAUACUGCCAGUCUUGAAGGUGCUAGGGAGAGAUGGAAUUACAGGUGUAGCGGUGAAAUGCGUAGAUAUCUGUAGGAACACCAGUGGCGAAGGCGGUCUCUUGGGGCAUUCUUGACGCUGAGGCGCGAAAGCUGGGGGAGCGAAC
rnacentral:rRNA from 1 species